rnacentral:rRNA from 1 species
AGAGUUUGAUCCUGGCUCAGAACGAACGCUGGCGGCGCGUUUUAAGCAUGCAAGUCGAGCGGUAAGCAUCCUUCGGGAUGCCUAGAGCGGCGAACGGGUGAGUAACACGUAGGUAAUCUGCCGUGCGAUUGGGGAUAGCCUGUGGAAACACAGGGUAAUACCGAAUACGACCUUCGGGGGAAAGGCGCUUCGGCGCCGUCGUACGAUGAGCCUGCGGCGCAUUAGUUAGUUGGCGGGGUAAUGGCCCACCAAGGCGACGAUGCGUAGCCGACCUGAGAGGGUGAUCGGCCACACUGGGACUGAGAUACGGCCCAGACUCCUACGGGAGGCAGCAGCUAAGAAUCUUCCGCAAUGGACGAAAGUCUGACGGAGCGACGCCGCGUGGGCGAGGAAGGCCGAAAGGUUGUAAAGCCCUUUUCUGCGUGAGGAAUAAGAAUCGGAGGCAAUGCCGGUUUGAUGACGGUAGCGCAGGAAUAAGCCCCGGCCAAUUACGUGCCAGCAGCCGCGGUAACACGUAUGGGGCGAGCGUUGUUCGGAAUUAUUGGGCGUAAAGGGCGCGCAGGCGGUCAUGCAAGCUUGAUGUGAAAGACCACGGCUUAACGGUGGAAACGCGCUGAGAACUGCAUGACUUGAGUUUCGGAGAGGGAACUGGAAUUCCAGGUGUAGGGGUGAAAUCUGUAGAUAUCUGGAGACAUCAGUGGCGAAGCGAGUUCCUGGGCCGACACUGACGCUGAGGCGCGAAAGCGGUGGGGGAGGCGACAGGAUUAGAUACCCUGUAGUCCACGCCGUAAACGAUGUGCACUAGGUGUUGGGCUUUCGA